GGGCGCAGCCUGAUGCAGCCAGGCCGCGUGGUGUGAAGAAGGCCUUACGGGUUGUAAAGCACUUUCAGCGAGGAGGAAGGGUUCAGAGUUAAUAGCACUGUGCAUUGACGUUACUCGCAGAAGAAGCACCGGCUAACUCCGAGCCAGCAGCCGCGGUAAAGAA
rnacentral:rRNA from 1 species